AAAGAUGUUGCUCUGGGCUGUGCCCGCGCCUCCUCCAUUGCGGCCUCGUUCGUUCACUCACUGCUGCAGCCCUAGCCCAAACCCUCCCUCUGUCGGCCUCCGCGCCGCCUUCCCCCGCGCCGUGCCGCUCCCGUCCAGCUUCUCUGCACAGCCCUGACCCUCCGACUCGUCCACUUUCUGGCCAGGGGUCUUCCCGGAGCUUACAUCGGACACGCUCCUCCUCUCUGGAUCCUCGGGGGGCAGCGCUGCGCUGCAGCCCGCGCUUCGCUAAGCCCCGGGCAAGGGUCCUCCUCCUCGUGGCCUGCCCGCCCAGCUCUUCCCUGAGCCCCGGCCGGGGGCUCUAGGGCGGCUCUGGGCGCGAUGGGCUACUGACGUGUCCGACCAGCGGUCUGCGCGGUCAGAGUGGGCCUGGGAGAGGCUUGGGGCGGAGGGGCAAGGACCCGCGCGGGGCUGCCGCGUGGGCACAGCGUGCAGGUGGGGCCGCCGCGACAGUCCGCAGGAGCCUGGGCCUGCUGGCUCUCGGUCCUCGCGCCCUUCCGCUCCCACCUCUGCAGGAGCACCACGGCCCGCGGGGCGCCGCCCGCGGCCGGAGCAGGAGGUGGAGCCGCGGCUGGCGGGCAGGGCCCCGGCGCCGGCCCGGCGGUCCGCGCCGCGCGGGGGCGGGGCUUGCGGCAGCCGGAGGCGGGGCGGUUCCAGGUCCCAGGACGAGGAAGCCGGAAGCCGAGUCCCAGAGACACCUUGUCAACCCUUCCCCGCUGGGGCCUGCGGCCUCCUUCCCGUCUGUGCCCGCGGCCCCGGCCCCAGGCGUUGGGCUGCAGAGUGGGACGGGCAGUGCCCUCACCUGCCUGUGAGCGGUAGCGUCCUGCCCAGCCCGCAGAGGACGGCCCCAGAGUGAACGCGGCCGGGCCAUGGGGACCGCACUGGUGUACCACGAGGACAUGACGGCUGCGCGGCUGCUGUGGGACGACCCCGAGUGCGAGAUCGAGCGUCCUGAGCGUCUGACCACAGCUCUGGAGCGCCUGCGGCAGCGCGGCCUGGAGCAGAGGUGCCUGCGGCUGGUAGCCCGAGAGGCCUCGGAGGCGGAGCUGGGCCUGGUGCACAGCCCCGAGUACGUGGCCCUGUUGCGGGGAACCCAGGCCUUGAGCACUGAGGAGCUCCAGGCCCUAUCCAGACAGUUCGACGCCGUCUACUUCCAUCCGAGUACCUUCCACUGUGCCCGGUUGGCCGCAGGGGCUGCUCUGCAGCUGGUGGAUGCAGUGAUGGCGGGAGUUGUGCGCAACGGUCUCGCCCUGGUGAGGCCGCCUGGGCACCACAGCCAGAGGGCCGCCGCCAAUGGAUUCUGCGUGUUCAAUAGUGUGGCCAUAGCAGCCAAGCAUGCCCAGCAGAAACAUGGACUGCACAGGAUCCUCAUCGUUGACUGGGACAUCCACCAUGGUCAGGGCACCCAGUAUAUCUUUGAGGAUGACCCCAGCGUCCUUUACUUCUCCUGGCACCGCUAUGAGCACGGGCGCUUCUGGCCCUACCUGCGAGAGUCUGAUGCAGACACCGUCGGCCGCGGGCGGGGCCUUGGCUUCACGGUCAACCUGCCCUGGAACCAGGUCGGGAUGGGAAACGCAGAUUACAUGGCCGCCUUCCUGCAGGUGCUGCUGCCCUUGGCCUUUGAGUUCAACGCCGAGCUGGUCCUGGUCUCCGCAGGGUUUGACUCCGCAAUCGGGGAUUCUGAGGGGCAGAUGCAGGCCACGCCCGAGUGCUUCGCCCACCUCACGCAGCUGCUGCAGGUGCUGGCUGGUGGCCGGGUCUGCGCUGUGCUGGAGGGUGGCUACCACCUGGAGUCCCUCUCCCAGUCCGUGUGCAUGAUGGUACAAGCGCUGCUCGGCGACCCCGCCCCGCCGCUCUCAGGGCCCAUGGUGCCGCAUGGCAGCGCCCUGCAGUCCAUCCAGAGUGUCCGGGCAGCGCAGGCCCCUCACUGGAUGAGCCUCCGGCAGCAAGGUGUGGCCCCUGUACUGAGUUCCAGCACUCGCUCCCCGGGGCAGGGGCCCUCCCCUCCAAUGCCUGCGGGGCCUGAGUUCAAGACAGCAGCAGCCCAGGCCGUGGCUGCACUCAGCUCCCUCCUGGACCAGCUACGCCUCCGUCCCACACCCCCUGUCCGCACUGCUCUUGCCUUGCCUGCGCCACUGGACGGUGACCUGGUCCUGCCCCAUGACGUCCUCUGUCAGGAGGGGUCAGCCCCACAGGAGGAGACGCAGGCCUGGGCCAGGCCACACGAGGCCCUGGCCCAGGAUAAGGCCCUCUCUGCACUUGGGAGGGUCCUGCACCUCUUGGACAGGAUCCUGGAUGGGCAGGUGAGCAGCGGCAUUGCAGCCACCCCAGGCCCUGCUGUAGCUGCCACCCUGGACGUGGCCAUUCGGUGUGGCCUCUCCCACGGAGCCCAGAGGCUGCUUUGUGUGGCUGUGGGACAGCUGGAUCGGCCCCCCCAUCUCACCGAUGACGGGGGGACUCUAUGGCUGAACGUCGGGGGCAAAGAGGCAGCUGCCCUGUCCAUGUUCCACGUCUCUGUGCCACUGCCAAGGGUGAGUGGUGGUGUCCCAGGGCAGGGCAGCUGCUGCUCACUGGCAUCACCAUGAGGGCCAGGCCCCUGGCUUUCACCUACCUUUCCUGGAGGGACUGUGGACAACCGGUGGGUUCCUGAGCUGUGUCCUGGCCCUGGUGCUGCCCCUGGCCUACAGCUUCCAGCCUGACCUGGUGCUGGUGGUACUGGGGCCUGCUCAUGGCCUGCAGGACCCCCAAGCUGCACUCCUGGCUGCACUGCUUCGGGGCCCAGCAGGGGGCCGAGUCUUGGCCCUUGUGGAUGAGGAGUCCACACCCCAGCUUGCGGUGGUCCUGGCCAGGGUGCUGCAUGGAGAGGCACCCCCCAGCCUGGGCCCCUUCUGCAUGGCCUCCCUAGAGACCAUGCAAGCCCUGAUGCACUUGAGGGGGCAGCUGGAGCCACAGUGGAAGAUGCUGCGAGUGGCCGGUGAGACUGGGAGGCCAGGCUCAGCCUGAAUGUUGGGGCCUUGGGCGAUAGCAGCCUUAGAGCUGUGGGGAGAGGGGCUCCUGUUCCGGGAAUGAGGUGCUGCCCUGAACCAGCUCACAGCUGUGUCAGGCUGCUUGCGCACCUCUUCCCAGCUCCUCCUUGAGUGCCCUGACCUGGUGGCUUGAAAUCGGCCAGGGUGGGACUAUUUACACCCCGAAAAAGGCACUACGAAGCAGUCCCCCAAGAGCCUGCAGGUGACCAUUCACCAGCACGCCUCUGUCUGAGGCCCCUGUCCGGAGGUCUAGGCUCCAAGGCUGCCAGGACCCUGGCUCCGGGGCUCUGUGACCCCUGCAGCGGCCUGGAACCCCCCUUCCCGCGACCCGCCUCUGCGCAGACCGCUCGCCCCUCGCUUCUCCGCGCCGCCGAAUCAGUAAACAUCCGUUCUGCGAAA